rnacentral:tRNA from 1 species
GAAGAAAGAUUUUUUAAAAAAGCUUCUAACUUUUAACAAAGCAUAUUAAUGUUUAU